rnacentral:rRNA from 1 species
CAAUAGCGUAUAUUAAAGUUGUUGCGGUUAAAAAGCUCGUAGUUGGAUUUCUGCUGAGAACGACCGGUCCGCCCUCUGGGUGUGUAUCUGGCUCUUUCUUGGCAUCUUCUUGGUGAACGUUGCUGCACUUGACUGUGUGGAGCGCUACCCAGGACUUUUACUUUGAGGAAAUUAGAGUGUUUCAAGCAGGCAUACGCCUUGAAUACAUUAGCAUGGAAUAAUAAGAUAGGACCUCGGUUCUAUUUUGUUGGUUUCUAGAGCUGAGGUAAUGAUUAAUAGGGAUAGUUGGGGGCAUUCGUAUUUAACUGCCAGAGGUGAAAUUCUUGGAUUUGUUAAAGACGGACUACUGCGAAAGCAUUUGCCAAGGAUGUUUNCAUUG